rnacentral:rRNA from 1 species
AUUGAACGCUGGCGGCAUGCUUUACACAUGCAAGUCGAACGGUAACAGGGUGCUUGCACCGCUGACGAGUGGCGAACGGGUGAGUAAUGCGUCGGAACGUGCCGAGUAGUGGGGGAUAACGCAGCGAAAGUUGUGCUAAUACCGCAUACGUACUGAGGUAGAAAGUGGGGGACCUUCGGGCCUCACGCUAUUCGAGCGGCCGACGUCUGAUUAGGUAGUAGGUGAGGUAAAGGCUCACCUAGGCGACGAUCAGUAGCGGGUCUGAGAGGAUGAUCCGCCACACUGGGACUGAGACACGGCCCAGAGUCGUACGGGGGGCAGCAGUGGGGAAUUUGGGACAAUGGGCGAAAGCCUGAUCCAGCCAUGCCGCGUGUCUGAAGAAGGCCUUCGGGUUGUAAAGGACUUUUGGCAGGGAGGAAAUCCCUAGUGCUAAUAACACUGGGGGAUGACAGUACCUGAAGAAUAAGCACCGGCUAACUACGUGCCAGCAGCCGCGGUAA